rnacentral:rRNA from 1 species
UACAGAGGGUGCGAGCGUUGUCCGGAAUCACUGGGCGUAAAGGGCGCGUAGGUGGCGACCCAAGUCGAUGGUGAAAGCUCGCCGCUCAACGGCGAGUCGGCCACUGAUACUGGGUUGCUGGAGCACUGUAGAGGCAGAUGGAAUUCCGGGUGUAGCGGUGGAAUGCGUAGAGAUCCGGAAGAACACCGGUGGCGAAGGCGGUCUGCUGGGCAGUUGC